GGUGCGCCACGGCGCCCCGGGGCCCGGGUUCUGCUUCUGCUUCCCCUGUCCGCCAGAUCCGGCUAGGAAGGCAACACCCGCGCCUGCCGGGGCUCCGGAGCUGAAGGUGUGCAAGCGGCACCCUUUGGAAUCACCACGUGAAAGCCACCUGGGGUUUGCCAAUCCUGCCCCGUUAGUGAUAGGAGGAUUGAUGAAUGGGGAGAGAGGGGAUAGCUGGUGUGACCGACAAGAAAGCUGCCCAUAAGGAAGCCACCUCCAACACACUGCCUAGAUCUCAGAAGUCAGUAAGAAGACACUGAGUGCUUACUCCAUUCCCUGGGAAAAUUGCAAAAACUACAGACGGUACAAAUGGAAGUUGCCUGGACUCCGUGUUCAGAAAUUAUGAUUGGUUGAUACUAUACAGAACAUUACAUUAAAAGGUCUUUAAAUUUA